ensembl:lncRNA
GGUAUCUGAAAAUACAUUUACAACAAUAACAGGUCUCAAAGUUCACCUGCUGCUGAGUUCCUCCUUUUGCCCGCUCCCUGCAGACCUGCCCUUUGUACUUUAGCAUGCUUACUGUCUUUCUCAGCCCGGCACUCAUCACCUCCCAUCUAAUCACACCAUUCUGCAACAGGCAAGCAACAGAGAGAGGCAGGGAGAGACUGAGACCCUCCUUUUCCACCUUGGAGUAGGAAGCAGGUGAGCACUGGGGCUGGGAGACAUCGGCAUGAGAUGGGAAAUGGCGGAGCUGUGAGGGGGUUCGGCUCUUGGUACCCCUCCCACCCACUCAAAAGGAGUCUGCCUCCAUGGAAAGCUUCCUCCAUCCCGUACUCUUUGAUGCUGAAGGAAGCAGGUGAAUGUUUCUGACAGGUUCUGUGUGCCUUUGCUCUAAGACGAGGCAGGAAAGGUUUGGUGGGGAUGCUGGGCAGGUGCUGUUCAGAACAAGUGAUGUUUCAGCAAAACUAAGGCCUUUGCCUGGGCAUCCCUUCUCAGACACCAUGUUGGGUUCCAGGGAGACACUGCAGCUUUUCUGUGGCUUUAUCUGUCGGAGCAGGACACCAACUCCUGCCUAUCUGCAGGGUCUGCUCCCAGAAGCAGCUGGAAGUGAUCACUUAUACAUCAUCCUUUCUCCCCCAGACAUAUCUAACAGCAGGAGAUACAGGAAGGGAAGCAACAAAGGAGGUCCCUGGCCGGUGGCGACGGGGAGAGCAGCGACAGCCAGGGAAUGGAUGUGGAGCUGCUGGAGAUCCCAGCAGAGCUUGCAGCCCUCCUGCAGUCAGCUGGAGGUGAGAAACCCUCCCCUUCCCGCACUGUUUUAUUCCCUGUUUAUUUUCUCGUUUCCUAGCAGUGUGUUACCUGUGUGCCUGCUCCACCUGCUG